rnacentral:rRNA from 1 species
AACCUGGUGGCGAGUGGCGAACGGGUGAGUAAUAUAUCGGAACGUGCCCAAUCGUGGGGAUAACGUAGCGAAAGUUACGCUAAUACCGCAUACGAUCUACGGAUGAAAGCGGGGGAUCGCAAGACCUCGCGCGAAUGGAGCGGCCGAUAUCAGAUUAGGUAGUUGGUGGGGUAAAGGCUCACCAAGCCAACGAUCUGUAGCUGGUCUGAGAGGACGACCAGCCACACUGGAACUGAGACACGGUCCAGACUCCUACGGGAGGCAGCAGUGGGGAAUUUUGGACAAUGGGCGCAAGCCUGAUCCAGCCAUUCCGCGUGCAGGAUGAAGGCCUUCGGGUUGUAAACUGCUUUUGUACGGAACGAAACGGUCUGCCCUAAUACGGCAGGCUAAUGACGGUACCGUAAGAAUAAGCACCGGCUAACUACGUG